rnacentral:rRNA from 1 species
GACGAACGCUGGCGGCGUGCUUAACACAUGCAAGUCGAACGGAAAGGCCCUGCUUUUGUGGGGUGCUCGAGUGGCGAACGGGUGAGUAACACGUGAGUAACCUGCCCUUGACUUUGGGAUAACUUCAGGAAACUGGGGCUAAUACCGGAUAGGAGCUCCUGCUGCAUGGUGGGGGUUGGAAAGUUUCGGCGGUUGGGGAUGGACUCGCGGCUUAUCAGCUUGUUGGUGGGGUAGUGGCUUACCAAGGCUUUGACGGGUAGCCGGCCUGAGAGGGUGACCGGCCGCAUUGAGACUGAGAUACGGCCCAGACUCCUACGGGAGGCAGCAGUGGGGAAUAUUGCACAAUGGGCGGAAGCCUGAUGCAGCAACGCCGCGUGCGGGAUGACGGCCUUCGGGUUGUAAACCGCUUUCGCCUGUGACGAAGCGUGAGUGACGGUAAUGGGUAAAGAAGCACCGGCUAACUACGUG